GACGAACGCUGGCGGCGUGCCUAAUACAUGCAAGUAGAACGCUGAAGGAGGAGCUUGCUUCUCCGGAUGAGUUGCGAACGGGUGAGUAACGCGUAGGUGACCUGCCUGGUAGCGGGGGAUAACUAUUGGAAACGAUAGCUAAUACCGCAUAAGAGUAGAUGUUGCAUGACAUUUGCUUAAAAGGUGCAAUUGCAUCACUACCAGAUGGACCUGCGUUGUAUUAGCUAGUUGGUGGGGUAACGGCUCACCAAGGCGACGAUACAUAGCCGACCUGAGAGGGUGAUCGGCCACACUGGGACUGAGACACGGCCCAGACUCCUACGGGAGGCAGCAGUAGGGAAUCUUCGGCAAUGGACGGAAGUCUGACCGAGCAACGCCGCGUGAGUGAAGAAGGUUUUCGGAUCGUAAAGCUCUGUUGUAAGAGGAGAACGAGUGUGAGAGUGGAAAGUUCACACUGUGACGGUAUCUUACCAGAAAGGGACGGCUAACUACGUGC
rnacentral:rRNA from 1 species